rnacentral:rRNA from 1 species
GGGUUGUGAGGUUAAGCGACUAAGCGUACACGGUGGAUGCCCUGGCAGUCAGAGGCGAUGAAGGACGUGCUAAUCUGCGAUAAGCGUCGGUAAGGUGAUAUGAACCGUUAUAACCGGCGAUUUCCGAAUGGGGAAACCCAGUGUGAUUCGUCACACUAUCAUUAACUGAAUCCAUAGGUUAAUGAGGCGAACCGGGGGAACUGAAACAUCUAAGUACCCCGAGGAAAAGAAAUCAACCGAGAUUCCCCCAGUAGCGGCGAGCGAACGGGGAGCAGCCCAGAGCCUGAAUCAGUGUGUGUGUUAGUGGAAGCGUCUGGAAAGGCGUGCGAUACAGGGUGACAGCCCCGUACACAAAAAUGCACAUACUGUGAGCUCGAUGAGUAGGGCGGGACACGUGGUAUCCUGUCUGAAUAUGGGGGGACCAUCCUCCAAGGCUAAAUACUCCUGACUGACCGAUAGUGAACCAGUACCGUGAGGGAAAGGCGAAAAGAACCCCGGCGAGGGGAGUGAAAAAGAACCUGAAACCGUGUACGUACAAGCAGUGGGAGCACAGAGCAAUCUGUGUGACUGCGUACCUUUUGUAUAAUGGGUCAGCGACUUAUAUUCUGUAGCAAGGUUAACCGAAUAGGGGAGCCGAAGGGAAACCGAGUCUUAACUGGGCGUUAAGUUGCAGGGUAUAGACCCGAAACCCGGUGAUCUAGCCAUGGGCAGGUUGAAGGUUGGGUAACACUAACUGGAGGACCGAACCGACUAAUGUUGAAAAAUUAGCGGAUGACUUGUGGCUGGGGGUGAAAGGCCAAUCAAACCGGGAGAUAGCUGGUUCUCCCCGAAAGCUAUUUAGGUAGCGCCUCGUGAAUUCAUCUCCGGGGGUAGAGCACUGUUUCGGCAAGGGGGUCAUCCCGACUUACCAACCCGAUGCAAACUGCGAAUACCGGAGAAUGUUAUCACGGGAGACACACGGCGGGUGCUAACGUCCGUCGUGAAGAGGGAAACAACCCAGACCGCCAGCUAAGGUCCCAAAGUCAUGGUUAAGUGGGAAACGAUGUGGGAAGGCCCAGACAGCCAGGAUGUUGGCUUAGAAGCAGCCAUCAUUUAAAGAAAGCGUAAUAGCUCACUGGUCGAGUCGGCCUGCGCGGAAGAUGUAACGGGGCUAAACCAUGCACCGAAGCUGCGGCAGCGACGCUUAUGCGUUGUUGGGUAGGGGAGCGUUCUGUAAGCCUGCGAAGGUGUGCUGUGAGGCAUGCUGGAGGUAUCAGAAGUGCGAAUGCUGACAUAAGUAACGAUAAAGCGGGUGAAAAGCCCGCUCGCCGGAAGACCAAGGGUUCCUGUCCAACGUUAAUCGGGGCAGGGUGAGUCGACCCCUAAGGCGAGGCCGAAAGGCGUAGUCGAUGGGAAACAGGUUAAUAUUCCUGUACUUGGUGUUACUGCGAAGGGGGGACGGAGAAGGCUAUGUUGGCCGGGCGACGGUUGUCCCGGUUUAAGCGUGUAGGCUGGUUUUCCAGGCAAAUCCGGAAAAUCAAGGCUGAGGCGUGAUGACGAGGCACUACGGUGCUGAAGCAACAAAUGCCCUGCUUCCAGGAAAAGCCUCUAAGCAUCAGGUAACAUCAAAUCGUACCCCAAACCGACACAGGUGGUCAGGUAGAGAAUACCAAGGCGCUUGAGAGAACUCGGGUGAAGGAACUAGGCAAAAUGGUGCCGUAACUUCGGGAGAAGGCACGCUGAUAUGUAGGUGAAGUCCCUCGCGGAUGGAGCUGAAAUCAGUCGAAGAUACCAGCUGGCUGCAACUGUUUAUUAAAAACACAGCACUGUGCAAACACGAAAGUGGACGUAUACGGUGUGACGCCUGCCCGGUGCCGGAAGGUUAAUUGAUGGGGUUAGCGCAAGCGAAGCUCUUGAUCGAAGCCCCGGUAAACGGCGGCCGUAACUAUAACGGUCCUAAGGUAGCGAAAUUCCUUGUCGGGUAAGUUCCGACCUGCACGAAUGGCGUAAUGAUGGCCAGGCUGUCUCCACCCGAGACUCAGUGAAAUUGAACUCGCUGUGAAGAUGCAGUGUACCCGCGGCAAGACGGAAAGACCCCGUGAACCUUUACUAUAGCUUGACACUGAACAUUGAGCCUUGAUGUGUAGGAUAGGUGGGAGGCUUUGAAGUGUGGACGCCAGUCUGCAUGGAGCCGACCUUGAAAUACCACCCUUUAAUGUUUGAUGUUCUAACGUUGACCCGUAAUCCGGGUUGCGGACAGUGUCUGGUGGGUAGUUUGACUGGGGCGGUCUCCUCCUAAAGAGUAACGGAGGAGCACGAAGGUUGGCUAAUCCUGGUCGGACAUCAGGAGGUUAGUGCAAUGGCAUAAGCCAGCUUGACUGCGAGCGUGACGGCGCGAGCAGGUGCGAAAGCAGGUCAUAGUGAUCCGGUGGUUCUGAAUGGAAGGGCCAUCGCUCAACGGAUAAAAGGUACUCCGGGGAUAACAGGCUGAUACCGCCCAAGAGUUCAUAUCGACGGCGGUGUUUGGCACCUCGAUGUCGGCUCAUCACAUCCUGGGGCUGAAGUAGGUCCCAAGGGUAUGGCUGUUCGCCAUUUAAAGUGGUACGCGAGCUGGGUUUAGAACGUCGUGAGACAGUUCGGUCCCUAUCUGCCGUGGGCGCUGGAGAACUGAGGGGGGCUGCUCCUAGUACGAGAGGACCGGAGUGGACGCAUCACUGGUGUUCGGGUUGUCAUGCCAAUGGCACUGCCCGGUAGCUAAAUGCGGAAGAGAUAAGUGCUGAAAGCAUCUAAGCACGAAACUUGCCCCGAGAUGAGUUCUCCCUGACUCCUUGAGAGUCCUGAAGGAACGUUGAAGACGACGACGUUGAUAGGCCGGGUGUGUAAGCGCAGCGAUGCGUUGAGCUAACCGGUACUAAUGAACCGUGAGGCUUAACCUUACAACGCCGAAGGUGUUU